AAUAACCAGGGGUGCCGAAAGGCUGAGAUCAGACCCAUUGAACCUGAUGCGGGUAAUGCCGCCGAAGGGAGGUUU
rnacentral:ncRNA from 1 species